CAAAAAUACCAGUGACAGGUGCACAUACAUUUUUGAGAGGUGGGCUAGGGAGUCAGACCCGUCAGCUACGAUGUAUAAACAGAGGAGGUGCUUGUAUGUUUCUUUUACUGAUGUGGGAGGCUUAGAAGUGCUUCCAGAAUAAAAAGAUCACAAAUGAAAGUGUAAUCCCAGGAAAUUUCUAAAUUAAAGUUUGAUUUAUUACCUGUUUCAUGCUCUUCUCUUCAGUGUUGAGGGAAACUGGAAACAAUUUAUGUCCUUUCAGUUCUGCCAUCCAUGAAUUGUGCCUCAGUGUCAAUGUGUAAGUUGAAUUUCAAUUUUCAUUGUUAUUUUUCCCUGUUGACGCUGGCGCAUAAACGUAAUUGCGUUGGAACUAAAGUUAUUGCUUAAGUAGCUGGGAACUCCUGUGGCAUUAGAUUACGGCUGGUGAUGGGGUGCACUUUUCAAAUGUGCAGGUUUACAGCCUUCGGGGAUUGCAGUGAAUGGCUCGUUUACAUGACUUCCAUGUCUUGGUUUUCAUUAACUUGUCCAAAGUCUAGAUGUUCUACUAGAAGAAAAAGUCUGAUCAUUUCUAAAGCGUUUGUUGCUUUCAGAAGUUGAUCAUGGGAUUUUCUACUCAGUAUGGCUGCCGUGAGCAAAAGGAUGCCAGAAUUUGAUAUCAACAACGGCAUGGAGCCGUCCCAGGGAUGCUGUGCUCUCCAGUUACAGGUUCUCUCCUGGCUAGAGGAGGAAUGCGAGGUGGUCUGUGGAAUGACAGGGUAAACUCCUGGUCCUGUGUUCGUCUCCAGAAUCAAACCGUCUGGGAGCACUGCCCGGGAAUCUGCAUUGAGACAAGAACCUUGGUGAUCCUUCUAAGGUAUCUGUACAGUUUAAGAACUUCUUAUAUAAGGUUUCACAUCCCAAAAUUAACUUGCAGUGAAUCUAAUCAAUUGUAGGAGCUGUUCUCAACUUAUCCAUUUUAUGUCCG
rnacentral:lncRNA from 1 species